CAGGGAGACAUAAACUGAUUAUGAUGUUUGAUUUUUAAAUUCAGGCCAUAAUCCUGUCACCUUAGGUCGAUCGGUACCUCAGAUUAGUAAUUUUGAAAUUGUGAAAUCACUUUUCAAUAAUUAUUUGAUUUUAGUUCCUAAACUUGUCUAGGUCACACCCAACAAACUUUCUCCUGGGCUAUUAGCUCAGGUGGUUAGAGCGCACCCCUGAUAAGGGUGAGGUCCCUGGUUCAAGUCCAGGAUGGCCCAUUCGUUGUUGGGGGUAUAGCUCAGUUGGUAGAGCGCCUGCUUUGCAAGCAGGAUGUCAGCGGUUCGAGUCCGCUUACCUCCACUGAUCAACUACCUGAUAACUCAGUAUGGAGAUUAAUUUGUUUGAUGUGAUUUGGAUGUUGUUCAUCUGAAUGAACCUAGCUUCCUGUCAUUCCUAUAUUAAAUUUAGGCUGAUAAGACGCUGGGCUCACUGAAUUUUCGAGAGAACAUUCAGUUGCUUUCAGCAGAACCUUGACAACUGCAUAGAAAAAUCUAGAUAAAUAAAGCAUCUCAUAGAUGCAUAGAAGUUUUUAUCAGUUUACUGAUAAAACUUCUAUGAUCAAUUCUUGAGUUAGAGCAAAUUUUCUAUUACUUUUUCACUUUAGAAAAAAGUGAUUAACUAAUUAAUUUUAGUAAGUUCAAUAGAUUAUAA
rnacentral:tRNA from 1 species